rnacentral:lncRNA from 1 species
GCGCGAUCUCAGCUCACGGCAACCUCCGCCUUCCGUGUUCAAGGGAUUCCCCUGCCUCAGCCUCCUAGUAGCUGGAAUUAAAGGCACCUACCACCACGCCCGUCUAAUUUUUGUAUUUUUAGUAGAGAUGGGGUUUCACCAUGUUGCCCAGGCUGGUCUUGAACUCCUGACCUCAAGUGAUCUCCCUGCCUCAGUCUCUCAAAGUGCUGGAAUUACAGGCAUGAGCCACCACGCCCAGCCAACUCUCACCACUUCUAUUUGAUACAUGCUGGAGGUUCUAGCCAGGGCAACUAGGCAAAUAAAUGAAAUAAGAGACAUCCAUAUGGAAAUGAAGAAGUACAAUGAAGAAGUAAAGCUAUAUUUGCAGAUAUGAUUUUAUAUACAUAAAGUCCUAAGGAAAUCACAAAAAACUAAUAAGACUAGUAAAUGAGUUCAGCAAAGUUACAGGAAGAUCAAUAUGCAAAAAAAUUGUGUUCUUACACACUAGCAAUGAAUAAUCAAAAAAUGAAAGUAGGAAAACAAUUCCAUUUACAACAGAAUUUGAAGAAAAUACUUAAGGAAUAAAGUUAACAAAUGAAGAGGAAAGUUUGUACACUGAAAAUUAUAAAACAUCAUUGAAAGAAAUUAAAGACGACCUAAAUAAAAGGAAAGACAUCUGUGGUUCAUGGAUAAGAAAAGUUAAUAUUGUUAAGAUGCCAAUACCUCCCAAAUUGACCUAUGGAUUCAAUGCAGUCCUUAACAAUAUCCUAGCUGGCUCCCCCCUCCCAACCCCACUGCCUCUAGAAAUUGACCAGCUGAUCCUAAAUUCAUAUGGAGACACAAGGGACCCAAAAUAACCAAAACAACUUUAGAAAGGAAGAACAAAGUUGGAGGACUCGCAUUUCCCAAUUUCAAAAGUUACUGGAAAACUACAGUGUGGUACUGGCACAAGGGUAGACAUAGAGAUGAGUGGAAUAGAUUUAAAAGUCCAGAAGUAAGUCUUGACACUGUCGAUUCAUUUUCAAUAAGGGUGCUACGGCCAUUUAGUAGGGGAAAGAAUAGUCUUCUCAACAAAUUAUGGUAAGACAACUGGAUAUCUGUCUGCAAAGAAAGAAUGAAGUUGGAAUUCUACUUUAUACCAUACACAAAAAUUAACUCACAUCACUGACCUAAAUCCUAUAGGAGCUAACACUAUAAAACUCUUCAAAGACAACACAGGGGCAAAUCUUCAUGAGCUUGGAAUAGGCAAUGAUAUUUUGGAUACACCAAAAGCAUAAGCAAAACAAUAAAUAGGAGUAUAUCAAAAUUCAAACUUUUUACUGCAAAUGAUACCAUCAAGAAAGUGACAAGAUACCCACUGAAUGGGAGACAAUAUUUGCCCAUCAUACAUAUGACAAUGGACUUGUAUCUAGAAUACAAAAACUCUUAGAACUCAACAAUAAAAAAAAAAUGGAUAAUCCAAUUUCUGGAAGUCAGUCAGAUUUCUGGGAUGAUCACUCCCAUCCUCACAACAACAACAACAACAAAAAAAACUAAAGAAAUUAAUUUUUUCUGGAUCUGUCAGAUAAUAGAGGUCACAAGGCAAACCACCAGCCUUAAAUCUGGAGAGACAAGCAAACGGAGAUCAGCUUACUUGGAGCAGAAGGACCAAGGAAGAUACAAGACAACAGCUUCUGCGAACCAGUAAGAGUGGCCUCAUUAGACAUUGGAUUUGCCAGUGACUUGAUCAUGGACUUCCCAGUCUCCAGGACUGUGAGUUAUAAAGGUCUUUCACCAUAUUUGCUGUCCUUGGGCAAGAUCAGAGUCAUCUUUGGAAGGAAAAGCAUCUCUGGAUUUUGUUAAAUACCAUCUUAGGAAAGUACUCUCUGCUCUUCAAAGUCAGCGACGACAUGAGUCACUGUUACAGAACCCACAGAAUGUGUCCCUUAAAAUACUGAGAAUGAACACUAUUUUACUGCCUGCAUAAUUAGCACUAGACAGGUGAAUUUAUUACUACUUCAUUAAAUAGAUGAGUUUAUUAACUCAGUGAAGACUUGUGGGAACCUUACUAAAAGAGAUGCAAUUCCCCAGCCUCAAGAUGCUCACAGUCUAGUGAUGAGGAAGCUGGCAAUUCCACUAUACAUGGCUAAAUGCCAGAGUAGUGCACAGCAUCCUUUAGCGGCAUGAGGAAUGGGCUCAUAAGCCCACAGUGGAAUGCAGGGGUUCUACACAAACGUAGCUUAAUCUGAGCCCUGGAGGGUGACUGAGCUCUAUUAGCCAGAGAAUCCAAAUCACUAUAAAACUCCCAGAGAACAAAUGUCAUGAUGUGAAGACAAAUAACAGGCAGAAAGAGAUGGGCAGGAAGGCAGAAUUCAAACCAUGAUGACGUUCAAGUCACAAAAUUAUCUGCAAGUCAGCAGGAGAACACUGAAGGACUUCUGGAAAGGAGAGUAAAAAGAUUCCUUUCAUGUUAGAAACAGAUUACCCUCUCAAACGGGAGGAGGCUUGAGGGGGAGGAGGCUAGGGCCAGAGAGACUAUUAGGAGAGCCACACUAAGAAACUCUUUCUUCUUUAUUCAAAUGUCACCACCUCAGAGUCUCUCUCUAGCCAUCCUGUAGAUAAUUUCGGUCUCCUAACUGCACCCCAACACUUCCUAUCCCUCAUCUCUGCUUACUUCUUUUCUCUAAGCCCUUAUUCCUCUCUAACAUCCUUCUAGGUAUUUACUUACUUAUAUUCAUUACACUUGUCUAAUGUGGAGUUUCGUUACCUGCUCCAUCCCCAACACCUACUAAGUUGCUACAAGCAUUUGGAAGGAACCCAAAGAUUUGCAGAAUGACUACUUUAAUGACUCAGUGAAUAGUUGAUAGAUACACCAUGUGGAUCAGGGCCUCAUUAUUUAUCACCUGAACCAUUCAUUCAACAUAUGAUUGUUGAAGGGUCUACUCUGUGCCAGCCAAGGGUCCUAGAUGUGAAAUAUACAGCAGUGAACAAAGACCUUGAUCUCACAAAGAUGAUAUUAUAAUGGGCUACGAGGGCAUAGCAAACCCCCAAUAUAUAGCGAGAGACACUUUUAAGAACAAUAGGGCAGGGUAAAGAAAUAAAGAGAUGAAAGGAGGGGCUGUCACAGAAUAAGUUUUUGUCAUGAAAGAUUUCUCUUAUAUUUGAACAGAGACCUCAAAUAUAGGAAGAGAAAGCCAUGUAGAGAUCUGAUAUCUGAAGGCAUGUAAUUCAGCCCUGAAGAACAUAGAAAAUUUUUUUUUGUUAAAAAGCCAUAGGUCUGGUAUUUAGCAAAGACAUGGAAUCAACCUAAAUGCCCGUCGAUAGCAGUCUGGAUAAAGAAAAUGUGGUGCAUAUACACCAUGGAAUACUAGGCGGCCAUAAAAAAGAUGUCCUGGCUGGGCGCGGUGGCUCAUGCCUGUAAUCCCAGCACUUUGGGAGAGUGAGGCAGGCGGAUCACCUGAGGUUAGGAGUUCGAGAACAGCCUAACCAACAUGGAGAAACCCUGUCUCUACUUAAAAAAAAAAAUACAAAAUUAGCCAGGCAUGAUGGCGAAUGCCUGUAAUCCCAGCUACUCAGGAGGAUGAGGCAGGAGAAUUGCUUGAACCUGGGAGGUCAAGCUUGUGGUGAGCCAAGAUCGCACCAUUGCACUCCAGUCUGGGCAACAAGAGCGAAACUCUGUCUCAAAAAAAAAAAAAAAAAAAAGAUGUCCUUUGCAGGAAGAUGGAUGGAGCUGGAGGACAUUAUUCUUAGUAAACUAAUACAGGAACAGAAAACCAAAUACCGCAUGUUCUAACUCAUCAGUGGGAGCUAAAUGAUGAGAAUACAUGGACACACAGAGGGGAACAACAGACACUGGGGUCUCCAUCAGAGGGUGGAGGGUGGGAGGAGGGAGAGGACCAGAAAAAAUAACUCAUGGGUACUAGGCUUAAUACCUGGGUGACAAAAUAAUCUGUACAACAAACCCCCAUGACACAAGUUUACCUGUAUAACAAACCUGCACGUGUACUUCUGCAGUUACAGAAGAUCAAGGAUGGGACUAAGAACCUAUUUCUACCAAUAUCCCAGGUGAUGCUAAUGCUGCUGGUCCCUAAAUUACAAUUUGAUAGCAUCAGUUAAAACAGCUCUCUAGAUAUUUUCAGACAGACUAACACUUGAGGUUUUCACCUCCAAUUUUUCUACUAACCCCAAUAUACUAUCCUAUUGCCUAAGGGCAAAAAGAACUAAAGAAGGUAAAAACAAACUGCAAGCUUCUCUUUCUCUCUGAUACUAACAAACAGGAAUGAAGGUUUGUUAGGAUCAGGAGUGCCAAGAUCAACUCUAUGCUCCUAACAUUAACCACGAAAAAACCCAGGCCACUCAUAAAAUACUCCCUAUAAUGACAGCAACUGACAUUUAGAGCAACUGACUGGCUGCCUACCAAGGCACUGUUUACAUAAAUUCUUCACAUGUAGUAUCUCAUUUGAUUUUCAUAACGAUGAUAGAGAUUGAGAAAAUAAUUAUGCCCAUUUUACAGACAAGGAAAUAGAGGCACACAGAAGUAACUUGUUCAUGUUUAACAAGUGGUCAACAGAAAAGUCAGGAUUUUCACCCAGUGCCUUAUCUACUAGAACACUGGCUGCGCCAGGCAAUGAACCCAGGCAAUCUGACACCUGUGCCCAUGUUCUUAACCGCUCGACAGUGGUUCUCAAACCCUGGUAUGCAUCCAUAUCAAAAGGCCUGAGGUUCCAUGUGCUGCCUUGAUACCUUUGAGACUCACAGGGCCCUGAAGGCCUAGCCAUGAGCUCCCGGCUCUCUCCAGAUAUGCCCUCUCAGUGGGAAAGGAUCCCUGCCCGCCUAGUUCCUCGUGUGUUAACCAUGUUUUAUGUACUGGCUAUUUGAUAUCUGCUAUUCCUAAUCUCUCCCUAAGUCUGCUGAAUCACAGGGCCAGACUAACAACCAAAAUUAUGUGCAUCUUCCCUGCAAGCAGCUUUCACCGGUGGGAGAAAGACAUAUUACAAAAGCAUAGGCCCCAGUUCCUUUCUCUGUCUGCUUCCUGACCCUUGCCUGUAGUGGGCUUCAUGUGGUCUGGUGUGGUGUGAUGUACCAGUGGAACUCUAAGUAUUAAAAUACUAUUCAUUGGCAUUAAUCUCUCCAUGUUGUCACUCAGCCGCUUUUAUAAAAUUAAGACUUAGGCACAAUUCAUCCUAUUUAGCCAGACCACCUGUACCCCACCAGGUCCUCCACAUAACAGGUUUUGCCUCCCUGCCAGCCUGUAGAAUUAUCCAAAUGGUCAAUUAAAUCUUCUUGCAGGAACCAAGGGUCACCCUGCUACCCUCCUGUCACUACAAAAUCAACCUACCAUGGCCCCUGUUGGUUCAAUCUAUUCUCAAGUGCAAGUCCCCUGGGCUGUGAAUAUGUGACUAAUAAACUGCUACCAACCUCUUCUGCAUAGGCUGACUGUAGGGUUUGUGUGUUCAGCCACCUCCUGCCAGUUCAAGUGAUGUCUUAGUCCAUUUUUGCUGCUAUAACAAAAUACCACAGUUAUAAAGAACAGAAAUUUCUCACAGUUCUGAAGGAUGGGAAGUCUAAGAUCAAGGCUCCAGCAGGUUGUGGGUCUGGUAAGGGCCUUUUUGCUGUGUUCUCACGUGGCAGAAGGGUAGGGGAAAAGGGGGAUGGAGGAAUGCUGUGUCUUCAUAGUCUUCAUAUGGCAGAAGAACAAGGGAGGUGAACUCUCUCUCUGAAGCCUCUUUUAUAAGAGCAUUAACUCCUUCAUGCCCUCAUGACUUAAUCACUUCCCAAAGGCCUCACCUCUUAAUAACACCACAAUGGGGAUUAAGUUUCAAUGUUUGGGGGACACUCAGACAGCAGCAGGUGGGGGAAUCCCUCCUUCACCAAUGGGGUGAAUAGGUGACCAGAACCCCCGAAUUACUAAUAAAGAACACAGAAGUUCAAGCUCAUAGAAGUAGUGUAGGGCCUGGGUCUUAUGAUUCUGAUGUGACCACAGUUCAAGAACCACUGCAUUAUUCUACACUGCCUCUUAAAGAGUUGACGGAACUGUCCAAGGGCACCCAGGAAACCAGGGGCAUGGCUCUGCCUGGCACUCAGGCCUACUGAUUAUCAGCUCCCUGCUCCUCUCCAGUAUAAGAUGCCCCUAGAGCUCUCUAUAAGAGGAAAGGGCUGCAGAAUGACUGGUAAUGCCUCUGGAGGCAAAUUCUCAGAAUGAAAGGGGAGGCUUCCCUUAGAUCAGUGCUGUCCAACAGAAAUAUAAUGCAGGCAAGCUAUUCGUGUAAUUUAAAUUUUUCUCAUAGCUACACUGAAAAAGGUAAGAUGAAGCAAGUGAACUUAAUUUCAACAAUAUAUUUUCUUUAACCCAACAUAUCCAAAGUAUUAUCCCCUCAACUUGUAAUCAGUAUAAGAAUUAUUGAGGGAUUUUACUUUCUUUUUUUCAUACUAGAUCUUUGAAAUCUGUUGUGCCUUACCAUUAUAACAUAUCUCAAUUCAGACUAGUUACGUUUCAGGUGCUCAAUAAUCACAUGCGGCUAAUGGCUACACUAUUGGAUAGUGCAGGUUUAGACCUUUUUAUUAAGGCAAUAUAGACUAUAUAAUCAUCUCACAGGGACUUGCUAAGUUCAAAAGACAGCAAAUUAGUUGUAGGUUUCAACAAUCACUAUCAUAGAAACUAUGCACAUUUGUUUAAAUAUGUAACAGAAUUAAAGUAUCCAUAGAAAAAGUGGAAAGUGGGGAAGAAAAGAAUACUUAAAAAUAUACCUUUGAGGCUGGGCACGGUGGCUCACGCAUGUAAUCCCAGCACUUUGGGAGGCCCAGGCGGGUGGAUCACGAGGUCAGGAAUUCAAGACCAGCCUAGCCAAGAUGGUGAAACCCCGUCUCUAUUAAAAAUACAAAAAAAUUAGCUGGG